GGAUUGAAAGCCGGAAGCUGGGCAGAGGUAAUCGCGGAACGCCAUGAAAUCCAACGGUGUCAUAGUCUCUAAGAUCGUCACUUGGUCCACCAGAAGCUACGAAGGACACAGGAAAGAAAAUAUUUCAUAAUUUCAUAGGGUUAUCGCUAGGUGACGUAUGAAAGUAUUAACUCAUCGAGGGACCGAGAGAUGGCCAUAUAAUCAGCUGCAAUCAAACGAGUUACCGAUCAUAGAAAUUAUUUAUAAUAUCAAUGGAAUAUUAACAUUUUGAAGAAGAUAGAAAUAAAUAUCAAUUACGGAUCGGAUAUAAUUAUAUAGUACUAUUCUAUCCUUUCAUUAAUUUGAGAACAUCGUUAAACUGAUAUACGAUCGUAAUAAUAAUUAUCAUAGGAUACAAUUAUAAAAACGAACAAUUUAUUUGGCAGCAUUCGAGAAGAUGUUUUCUGUUGCAUGGCUUUCUCAGUCCUUGCAUUUUAUAUUUUAAUUACAGUUAAGAUAUAUAAACAAAUGGAACGAAAAAUAUAUUGGUCUUAUUUCUUUGAAAGAAAAACAAUAUAAUAUUUAUAAAUCCAUCUUUACAAAAGAAAUUAUACGAACAUUUAUAUAAGAUAUCAUUGUAUAAUUAGAUUAUUUAAUUUAAUAAUUAAUGAAUUUAAUUAACAAUUACAGAUUCUCAUAUAUCAAUUUUUAAGAACGUAAAUACGAAAUAUCAUUUCAAUCGAAUCAAUCAAUCUCAAUUAAUCUGAUAGUUCUUAUUUUGCUAUCAUAUAUACUUUUCAAAUUUUGUGCAUUGCAAAGAUGAAGAAAUGUUUUCAUAUAUCUCUAGAUUAAUAGUAUAGAAUCAUCAUUGGGAUUGGCGUAAAAAUUAUUCAUACGCCGAUCAUAUUGCUGUUGCAGUCAAUCUUUUCUUUUUGAUCUAUGUAUCAAUCGAAUCGAUGGUAAAACUUAAUAAUUAGCUAUAUAUAUUUACUCGAUUUAUCAUUAUUAAGAUAACCAAGUGCAAUAUUCUUCUUAUCAAAGUAAAUAGAUCAUCGCUUCAAAAAAUAUACUCUUCUUAUCGAAUUUUUUGAUUUUUUUUCACUGUUUUUUUUCAUUUUCUGUAUUACAUUACAUUACACUUUUUUCUCAACGAGUAAUACGUAUUUAUUUGAUCGAUCUUCGAUGUAAACACGCUACGUGCGUCAAUUCAGAUUCCACAAGAUAGACCAGAAAGAAUCAUUGAGUAUUUCAAGUAUACACGAGUUUUUCUGAAGUAAAUGCUUCGCUUUAAUUUCGUUGCACAUCUGAGUCGGUAUCUGUGGACGCGGAGGGUGGUUGGAAAAGAAGAACAAAAGAAAAAAAAAAAAGAAAAGAAAAGAAAGAGAAUGAAAAAAAGAGAAGAGCGAAGAAAGAGAAAGAGUUAAAACAACGUGUAUACCGUACACAGAUCGUCAAAAUUUUCUUCUCUUUUUUUGUUUCCUACCGUUUUAUUUUU